rnacentral:rRNA from 1 species
UACGUAGGUGGCAAGCGUUGUCCGGAAUUAUUGGGCGUAAAGCGCGCGCAGGUGGUCUUUUAAGUCUGAUGUGAAAGCCCACGGCUCAACCGUGGAGGGUCAUUGGAAACUGGGGGACUUGAGUGCAGAAGAGGAAAGUGGAAUUCCACGUGUAGCGGUGAAAUGCGUAGAGAUGUGGAGGAACACCAGUGGCGAAGGCGACUUUCUGGUCUGUAACUGACACUGAGGCGCGAAAGCGUGGGGAGCGAACAGGAUUAGAUACCCCGGUAGU